rfam:Ictidomys tridecemlineatus contig076644, whole genome shotgun sequence.
GGAGAUGGAGCUCAGUGGUAGAGCCCUUGCCUAGCAGGCACAAGGCCCUGGGUUCAAUCCCCAGCACCACAA